GCCCCUUUAAAAUGUUACCCCUUCUUCUCUCUUCUUUAAGAGAUUUUUUUUUUUUUCCUAAGAGGAGAAAAGAGAAACCUGUUGAAUUAAAAAAAAAAUUUUUUUAAAGCAACUAUUGACAAUAGUAAAAGAGAUCUAGAGGAUGAAGAAUCUAAAAGAAGCCUGAAGGAUAACUCAGCUGUGUAUUUAGAAUUUCUAACAUUCUGCUCUCCGGGAUCUACGUGCAAGAGACGUCUGACCCUUUGGUGGUCUUUCUUGCUUGGUCAGUUCUGGUCUUAUUUUGGUGAUGGCUAUGUGAAAUUUCAAAGUGGAAGUGCUUAGAGCUGGUCAGCUCUUACCAGAAGCAGAAGAGUACAUGUUUAUGGCUCCUUUUCUUUCUUUUUUCCAAAGGGCUCAACAGAAAUAGGCAUGGCUAAUUCACAAAGAAUUUCAAAUAUCAGGGAAGAACGCAUAUGUGUGUGUGCGCCUGUGCAUGUAUACAUAUGAAAUCAUUUCUCCUUCUCUGAAGGGAAAGGAAAGCGCCAGGCAGCUUUUGGUGUGUGUUUUGUGUGUGUGUAUGUUUCUCUGCCCUUUCAGAGUUCUACAUUGGUUGUUUUAGAAGGGUAAUGAAAAAAAAAUCACUGUGGUAAUUUAAGUGAAUGGUGAUUAGAUUGGCUGGUAAAAGCACACUGUCAGGGACUAUGUUGGAAAUCAGCCCAGGCCAGGCUGGACUAGAAACCCACCAGACCCAGGAGGUUACUGUGGAAAGGCCCCUCCCACAGGUGUGGGCGGCUUACCUGGGCUUGCUAGGUGACAUUAUCUGGAGAUACCCUUCCGGAAACCUGGCCUUGGGCUGACUUCUCAGGUGGAUAGAGGCCUCCCAUUUAACUGUUUUCCCAGUGUUGAGGUUAUUUGCUGCCACUUAAUAUGCUUCUGCUAAAGUCUAUGAGCAGUGCCUCUGGGACCCUGGGAUUCUGUUCUCUCUAGAGAGGUGUUUUUUUAUUUUUUAUCUUUUAUUUUUUUUAAUCCCCUCUUUUCCUUUCUGGCAUUGCUUCAGGGUCUGUAUAUUUGCCUGUUUAUAGUCCUGCUUCGUGGUUUUGGAUGAAAACUCCAGCCUUUCCCAACUCACCCCCAUUUCCAGGUUCUUCAGUUUCCUGAGAAGGGCUGUUGUGCUGGGGGUGUGUGGGAAGGGGUCAGUGAGGUCCAGCUGGGCGUAGGUUCCCCCCACAGCCCUAGCGUGUUAGGAAGGCGCGUUGGCCUCUGCAGGCAGGAGAAUCCUCUAGAAGCCAGUGUACAAGCAGCAUGGCCAGCUGCCCUGUCUGCUGUGUGGAGCCCCCGUGUCCUGCCUGCUGUGCCUCUCCCUUUUACCUCCUUUGUUGACUUUUCUUCCUCCCUACCUGCCCCCCCUGUUUGCCAGAGGGGUGGGCCUGGAAACAGAGGGCCACGGCUGCUUUAUCUCUCUCCUCCUCGCUGCGCUAAUGGCCAGAGUGGUGACUCCAGGAAGCCGGGCCACUGAGCAGCUGGGCGCCCUCUCAGCCUUCCAACUGGAACUGCUGGCUCAUGCUCGCGUUUCAACACUGCCGCUGAGUCAUCGAUCGGAAGCUGGAUUCUCCCACUUUAUUCUCCUAUCCGCCAGGUGCUCCCCUCUGGUCCUGGCAGAGGCAGCCAGGAGAAUGACCUUGGUGGAACUUCAGCACUACAGGCGCUUGAAUAAAAACCGUUUAGACGUGAA